rnacentral:RNase_P_RNA from 1 species
GAACGGGAGGCAGCGGCUCACCGGGCACUCCGGAGGAAGCUCUGCCCACCAGAGGCAAAGGCCCCUUAAGGGGGCUCUUAGCGGGAACAGAAACGAGACCUGUGCGGGCUUACCAUGAGGAAACGAGAUGUCCGCAGCGAGGAUGAAACGGCCCGCGAAGGCCAGAUGAAGGUGCAAGCCGGUUUUUGGCGCUUAGUAUAAUGCCGCAAUGCGCCUUUGGGCGCGGAUACAGAAGGCAGGCUAUUCCUCCCGUUC